GGCGCCUUGGCCGAGUGGUUAGGCAGAGGCCUGCAAAGCCUCGUACAGCAGUUCGAAUCUGCUAGGCGCCU
rnacentral:tRNA from 1 species